GAAAAAUAACGAUACGGGACUCAUCCGAGGCCCCGUAAUCGGAAUGAGUACACUUUAAAUCCUUUAACGAGUAUCCAUUGGAGGGCAAGUCUGGUGCCAGCAGCCGCGGUAAUUCCAGCUCCAAUAGCGUAUAUUAAAGUUGUUGCGGUUAAAAAGCUCGUAGUUGGACUUGUGUCCCACGCUGUCGGUUCAUCGCUCGUCGGUGUCUAACUGGCAUGGUUCGUGGGACGUCCUGCCGGUGGUGGCGAGUCGAAAGCGCGCUCCCGUCGCGGUUAGCCGUGUUCGGUUCUUGUGCGCCUAGACGGACCCCGAUCAAAUCCUACCGCGGUGCUCUUCGCCGAGUGUCGAGGUGGGCCGGCACGUUUACUUUGAACAAAUUAGAGUGCUUAAAGCAGGCCUUUUGCGCCUGAAUACUGUGUGCAUGGAAUAAUGGAAUAGGACCUCGGUUCUAUUUUGUUGGUUUUCGGAACCCGAGGUAAUGAUUAAUAGGGACAGGCGGGGGCAUUCGUAUUGCGACGUUAGAGGUGAAAUUCUUGGAUCGUCGCAAGACGGACCGAAGCGAAAGCAUUUGCCAAGUAUGUUUUCAUUAAUCAAGAACGAAAGUUAGAGGUUCGAAGGCGAUCAGAUACCGCCCUAGUUCUAACCAUAAACGAUGCCAGCUAGCGAUCCGCCGAAGUUCCUCCGAUGACUCGGCGGGCAGCUCCCGGGAAACCAAAGCUUUUGGGUUCCGGGGGAAGUAUGGUUGCAAAGCUGAAACUUAAAGGAAUUGACGGAAGGGCACCACCAGGAGUGGAGCCUGCGGCUUAAUUUGACUCAACACGGGAAACCUCACCAGGCCCGGACACCGGAAGGAUUGACAGAUUGAGAGCUCUUUCUUGAUUCGGUGGGUGGUGGUGCAUGGCCGUUCUUAGUUGGUGGAGCGAUUUGUCUGGUUAAUUCCGAUAACGAACGAGACUCUAGCCUGCUAACUAGUCGCAUCCGGUAU
rnacentral:rRNA from 1 species